UCAUAGGAGCGCCUAAAGAUACAGUGCGGCUCCCUACUUUGCGCAUGCGUCAAAAUAUUUACAACGUUGUCAUGUUGUUUACACAUUGACAUCGCCGGGAAAUUCAAAAUGCUAGCUCCUUGCAAGGAAUCUUUUAUUUUGACAAAUGACAUAAUAUUUUUGUAAUGUAAAUAUAAAAAUAACCUAUAAAAAUAAAAUUCUAUUUUGUUUUACCCUUAGACAAGGUUUUACCUGUACCUGUAAAAGGGUAUUAAGCAAAUAUAAGAUCAUUGAAAAGAGUAAAACGUUGAAUUUAAUUAUUUUGUCAGUUAAAGAACAACAUAACCAUCAUACAAUAUGGAAAUGCUAUUUUAGGUUUAGAAGUUUUUAAAUACUUUUGCAUAUUAUGGGUAUAUAAAAUGACACCAUUGCAGAAUCUUCAGUCAGACAGUAGUUGAAGUGCUGUAUAAUCAAUCACAAAUUGCCUCAAGAAUUGUUAUAGAAAGAAUAUUUGGUAUUUUAUGCAGAAAAGAUUCCCCAUAUUAGUAUGUGAAAUGAGAUGCAAGUUACCUUUUGUUUGAAGAAUAAUAUCAGCUUGUAUACUUUUACAUAAUAUUGCAGUUGUUAAUAGAGAAAACAUUGAAAUACUGGAAAAGGGGGAUGCUGUCAUUUAAUCGAACAAGCUGUGGCAGUACCUACAUUUUCAACCAUGAGCAAAUCUAGUGUAACUAAAUGUUGUGUGUGUGUGUUUGUUUUAAAAUAUUAUUCUCCAUUUAACUCAAGCCUAAAUGGUUCCCACAUAACCAUUUUAUGUUCUUGGUAGAUUCAAUAUUCGAUAAAUAGACUAUUGAUUAUGUAUUUUAGAAAGGGACUACAACGUUAACGGGGUUUUAUUGUUUCAUAUAGUCAAUGGACUUUUAAAUAUGAAAAACCCGCGGAGUGCUACCAUUUAAAGGGGUGAGUUUUUGAGAAAGGGGUGAAUUAAUCCCUAGGCACAGGACGAAUUAGGGUGAGUUCUAUGCACUUUUGGUACAAACACAUCUGCAGGAAAAUUGUUCCAGGUUAAAUUUACUAUCGAAACAUUACAUUUUAAAGUUAAAAAUAUUUUUUUUACAAAAAUAUAUUCAAAAGAAAAGCAAGAAAAAAAACUUCAAUCCUUACUCUUUAAAAUGACAUUUAGUAGAAGUCUCUAUGAUUUAUGAUUUCCAAAAUAUGAUUUUUCAAAGUUCGCCACUCACAGCGAUUUUGGCCCAUUUUCCUUGUUACUUCUCAAACAUCGUUCUGUAACUUUUUUCUACGUAGCUUUAGGUAUAUGCAAUGUUACAUUUAAUAGGAAAAAAGAUCAAUUACCUUUAAAAAAUUUUAUACUUUUAAUGAUUUUUGAUAUAUUUUACGAUUAUUUUUAAAUUUCUCAUAACUUUUUUUAUUGUAUAUGUAGGUAUAUAAUUGGUAGGUAUAUUAUUGUCUAAUAAAAAAGAAAGCUUAUUUUAUUUACUUUAAAAUGGUGUAUCGUAAAAAAUUCUGGGACUAUUUUUAAACAAGAUUGGAACCCUAUGGAAAACUUUUUUAUUAUUAACUUUAUGAAAAAAAAUUAUAAUAUGCAAUCAUAUUAUACGGAUACUCUUGGAUAUCCUACGGAUAUCGUGUUUAAGAAUUGUCCUAGAAUUUUUUGCAAUACACCAUUUUAAAGUAAAGAAAAUAAGCUUUUUUAUUCCACAAUGUAUAUACUUAAACGUACAAGAAAAAAAGUCAUAAUGAGAAAUUUGAAAAAGCAUAACUUCCUUAGAAAGAGCUGUAUAAAUAACCUUAUACAAUAGACUAUUUUAAAGGUAAUUAAUUUCUCUUUCUACUAUUGCAUAUACGUAGAAAUGUGCACGAAAUAGUUACAGAACAAUGUUUGCGAAAUAAUGGGGAAAAUUGCCCAAAAAUGCUGUGAGCGGCAAACUUAGAAAAAUCCUAUUUCGGAAACUAUAAAUCUUAGAGAAUUUUACCAAACUUCAUUUUAAAGAGGAAGGAUGGAAGUUAUUUUUCGCUAAAGCAAUGCCUAUACCUAUAUCCCUGUGGAAAAUAGUUAUGGGGCUAAAAACAAAAUUGCUUUCUUUCAUGUUUUUUUCUUGCUUUUAUUUUGAAUAUAUUAUUUUUGUAAAAAAAAAUAUUUUUGACUUUAAAAUGUGAUGUUUGGAUAGUAAACUUAACCUGGAACAAUUUUCCUGUAGAUGUGUUUAUAUCAAAAGUGCAUAGAACUAACCCUAAUUCGCCCUGUGACUAGGGACUAAUUCACCCCUUUCUCAAAAACUCACUCAUUUCAAUGGUAGCACUCCAUGGUUUUUUCUAAUUUAGAGACAGAUAUGAGACAAUAAAAUCCCGUUAACGUUGUAGUUCCUUUUAGUUCUCUUAUUUUGAACAUAAUCAAUAGCCUAAAAGGUUUAUUCCAAGAAUAAACUUUUACUAAUAUUCUAAGUAACUACAUACAUGAAUGUGCUCAGUAUAUUUGGUCCGAGAAUAUUCUUCGAAGUAUAUGCAAAAAACAUGAAAUUUAGAAUGUUUUUAUAGUACAUGCUAUGCUUCUACUACACACAUACUGAAAAGAAUAUAUUCCGACGAAUGUUGGUAGUGUAUGGAUCGAACAUGAAAGGAAAAUCAUUGUUAUGUAGUAUAAUGUUGAUAAUUUUAUUUUUAUUGGACUGCAGUUUGUUAAUAAAUUUAUAAAUAAAUAGGUAUAUUAUAUUGGUGACUGAUUUGAUUUUAAGUAUUUUAUUAUUAGCAAUUUAUAAAUACAUGAUAUUGGUGUUUGAUUUUGAGUAUCCUUUAAAAUUUAUUUUAUAUCUCAUUCUGUUAAAAGGACUUCCACAACUAGCAAAAAUGUAUGAACAAGGAAGUUAUUUUAAAGGACAAAAAUAAUAAUAGAAAAAUUAGCUUUAUGGUGUUUUUUUUAUUAAUUUUUUUGACAGUAUGUUUAAAUAAACAAAUGCUGAUGACAUGAAAAUGAAAGUGUAAUACAUACUUUUGGCUCAAAACUUUAUAGAUUAUGGGACUUAUGUCCCCGUUAAACCUCGGUUAGCUAAUCAGGACAGAAAAGUACCUCUUUGGGCCUCCUGCGUUGUAAUAUCAUGUAUAAUCAUAAUAUCAUCAUCAUUGGCUCCGCAACCCAUGGUGGGUCUUGACCUGUUCCAGAAUCAGCUUCCUAUCCCUCACCUUGGUUUUCCAAUUUCGCACUCCUAAUCAUAAUAAUAAGUACAAUUGUGUUUAUGUCUAUGUUAUGCAUACAUUUCUGUCCUGAUUAAACCCCGGUUAGCUAAUGGCGGUUUAACCCGGACAUAAAGUACCAGCCCUAUAUCUAAAUAAUAAAGGAUUAAAAUUCCAAAAACCUUUGUUUUAUUAUAUUAACCUGUUUAUAUUGUUAAUGCCAUACGUAUAUUAUGUUAUAUCUUUUGAAUUGAACUGUACUUUUUAAUCCAGAAUUUUAACAAAUCCUAAGCUUUUCCACAAUUUCACAAGCAUAUUUGUGCAUUCAAAUUAAUUGAAAUUACAUCUUAUAUAUCUAUACCUACUAAAAAUAUUUAUUUCUUCACAAAAAUGUCUAAAUUAAUAAUUAUAAAGAAUGUCUAUGUGAUUCUUGUAAUUAACAGUUUAAAAUUAUUUAUAGCUUCAAUAAAUGUCCUUGUUUCAUAUUGAUUUGGGUCAAACCAUGCAUAAUCUGUAUCUGAGAAUAAACUUUUAUUUAGGAAUCCUUUUUAAUGAAUAAAACAGGACAUACAUAACCAACUAGUUCCAAAUAUCCAAAAUAUAAAAAUAAAUCCAAUAUCCAAUAAUCCUAUCAAAGAUGUGACAGUGACAAAUACAAAAUACAAAAGUCGCGUUUCUUGUUUCUCAACGUAAUCACAGUUUUUUUGCUUAUACGAAUCAGUUAGUUCACUCUAGUUUUUAUGCGGUUCCUGCGCUUGCAGAAACUCCUAGCAGACUGCGCAGUAGACUAGGAGGAAAAUGUUGCUGUUGCAAGAUUUAAAAUAUUCCGAUAAAGAAUAUUCCAAAAUUAUAAUAAAAUAAUUAUGAUUAUCGAUUUUUUUCAAAAAGCUGAAAAUUAAAUUCAUAAAUGGUAAAAUGCUUUACGUACACACUUGUAUAAAAUUUGAAAAAUAAUAUUUUCUAAUUAUUGAUUGAAUGUAUUCAAACAAUUAAUCACAAGUAACUAUCUAAAUUGGUGACAUUUGGCAACAGUGAGUAGACCUGGUUUUUAUAAACAAACAGUUGUUUAUUUAGAGUUAUUUAUUAUUGUUUUCUGAUAUUUUGCAAUUGUUAAGUUGGUUUACUUCGAAUUUAAUAUGCAUUACUGUGGUAUUUCUCCAGUUUUCUAAGAAGGUUGGUGAUUUUGAAUUGGGAUUAUGAUGAAUUUAACCCAAAGGCAAUGUGUGUUUAUUUAUGUGGCAAAAUUCCAGGCACCAUAAAAAUUUGAGUUUCUUCCUGUUGCCCAUGGAUGAAAAUCGGUUUGCAGAAUGAAAAGAAAUUGUUCAAUGUGAUAAACUUCUAUGAACAGUCCUCAAUAUUGUUACAUUAACUUUUAAAUAUGCACUUUACAUCUUGAGGAGCAGGCCUUUGCAGAAAUACUGAAAAGCGGGUUGCAAAACAAUGCAAAAUAAAAUAAAUGAAAUAUGUCUUGAGAUUAAACAUUCAAGUUAAAGGUGUGUUCUUUCUUAAACUGGAAUGAUAAUUUUGUAAUUCUGUAGGCACAUCUAUUGAGAAGUUACAACCAGUGGAAAAGUGCCUUAAGGGAAUCUAUGACAUAUAUAAUUGAAGGGACAUCUCCUCUGAAGGAAUUACAAUUAUUUGCCAGUAUGUCAAAUGAAUUUUCAACAUCAGUCAUACUUUCAUGAAUUUAUUGAUGAAAAUAAAACUAGGUACAUGAUUUAUUAUUUACUUCCAAGGGAUUCUAAGAUACUAUGUGUAAAAAGUCCAAUAUGCAGUGAUGAGCAUGCUAAUAACAGGCAAAAUAUGGGAUAUAACGCCAAAGAUGGGAAACAUGGGAUGCAUUCUGAAGUAAAAAGAGAUGAAACUGAGAGAAAUUAUCGAUAUAAACAUAUAAAUUAACAUUACAUUACAUAGUUUCCCACCUUUAGACGUAUCAGAUGAGUAUGAGAACUGUCACUGUGCCAGGAGAAUUUUAUAAAAUACUCAUGUCACAGAUAUCUAAAGGUGGGAAACUAUGUAAUGUUAUCGUCGGCUAAGAGUGUUAACCUGCUAACUCCAUUUUUCACUGUGAGUGAUAUUGGGGUAGUUUCUAGGUCUGUGUACCUUCAUACCAUGUCCCACAAGCCCGCUGGUUCCACUGUAGUUUAGAGAUAGCUAUUUCCAAACUACAUUGGUGUCGACGGGUUUGUGUGGUGGUGUAUGAAAAUACACGGACCCAGAAACUAGCCCAAUAUCACUCAAAGUGAAAAAUGGAGUUAGCAGGUUAAAACUCUUAUCCAAGGUUAUGUUAAUUUAUUCGUUUAUAACGAUAAGUUCCACUUCUACCAGUUUCAUCUCUUUUUAUCUCACAAGUUAAUAUAUUUUGCCGGUUAUUAGUGUGAGUGCUCAUUACUGUAUAUUUACGAUUCUGUGAUUUCUCAAUAUGAUGCUGAGUAGGUAUAGAUCUAAGUAGGUAUAUAGUAGGUAUCUACAAUCCUUUCAAAACAGAAAUUUAUAAGUUCAUUUUAUGUACCUAUUAAACUUUAUUUUAAGGAUGAAUUUGAAAUGCUUGUAGGGAAUAUAUCUGUAAAAAAUAAAAUUGGUAUUGUAAAAUUGAAAUUCUCAAAAUAUAAUUUAUAAUUCGAA